AAAACAAGCAAAUAAGUUAAAACUUUCAACAACGGAUCUCUUGGUUCUGGCAUCGAUGAAGAACGCAGCGAAAUGCGAUAAGUAAUGUGAAUUGCAGAAUUCAGUGAAUCAUCGAAUCUUUGAACGCACAUUGCGCCCGCCAGUACUCUGGCGGGCAUGCCUGUUCGAGCGUCAUUUCAACCCUCAAGCCCUGCUUGGUGUUGGGGUCCUACGGCUGCCGUAGGCCCUGAAAGCUAGUGGCGGGCUCGCUAUAACUCCGAGCGUAGUAGUAAAAUAUCUCGCUAGGGAGGUGUCGCGGGUUCCGGCCGUGAAAGCCCAUCUUUUACACAAGGUUGACCUCGGAUCAGGUAGGAAUACCCGCUGAACUUAAGCAUAUCAAUAAGCGGAGGAAAAGAAACCAACAGGGAUUGCCCCAGUAACGGCGAGUGAAGCGGCAACAGCUCAAAUUUGAAAUCUGGCUUCGGCCCGAGUUGUAAUUUGUAGAGGAUGCUUUUGGUGAGGUGCCUUCUGAGUUCCCUGGAACGGGACGCCAGAGAGGGUGAGAGCCCCGUAUAGUUGGACACCGAGCCUCUGUAAAGCUCCUUCGACGAGUCGAGUAGUUUGGGAAUGCUGCUCAAAAUGGGAGGUAUAUCUCUUCUAAAGCUAAAUACUGGCCAGAGACCGAUAGCGCACAAGUAGAGUGAUCGAAAGAUGAAAAGCACUUUGAAAAGAGGGUUAAAUAGUACGUGAAAUUGUUGAAAGGGAAGCGCUUGUGACCAGACUUGUGCCCGGCUGAUCAUCCAGUGUUCUCACUGGU
rnacentral:rRNA from 1 species